UAGGGAAUCUUCGGCAAUGGACGAAAGUCUGACCGAGCAACGCCGCGUGAGUGAAGAAGGUUUUCGGAUCGUAAAACUCUGUUGUUAGAGAAGAACAAGGACGUUAGUAACUGAACGUCCCCUGACGGUAUCUAACCAGAAAGCCACGGCUAACUACGUGCCAGCAGCCGCGGUAAUACGUAGGUGGCAAGCGUUGUCCGGAUUUAUUGGGCGUAAAGCGAGCGCAGGCGGUUUCUUAAGUCUGAUGUGAAAGCCCCCGGCUCAACCGGGGAGGGUCAUUGAAAACUGGGAGACUUGAGUGCAGAAGAGGAGAGUGGAAUUCCGUGUGUGGCGGUGAAAUGCGUAGAUAUAUGGAGGAACACCAGUGGCGAAGGCGGAGCUAUGGACUGUAACUGACACUGUGGCACGAAAGCGUGGGGAGCAAACAGA
rnacentral:rRNA from 1 species